rnacentral:rRNA from 1 species
UACAGAGGUCUCAAGCGUUGUUCGGAUUCAUUGGGCGUAAAGGGUGCGUAGGCGGCGCUGUAAGUCGGGUGUGAAAUCUCGGAGCUUAACUCCGAAACUGCAUUCGAUACUGCCGUGCUUGAGGACUGGAGAGGAGGCUGGAAUUUACGGUGUAGCGGUGAAAUGCGUAGAUAUCGUAAGGAAGACCAGUGGCGAAGGCGGGUCUCUGGACAGUUACUGACGCUGAGGCACGAAGGUCAGGGGAGCAAACGGG